CUUCCUUUGUCCUUCACUCUUGCUUCGAUGUUCUCGUCAGAUUUUUCUGCUAUUGCAUAAAUUCGAAGAUUCCACCUCCGACCAUACCGGUCAUUCGUGUUUACCUUUGACUCCAUUUCAGUGAGUUUCUGCUCCUGCUUUGCAACCUGAAUGUUCAAUGUUGCGUUCUGCUGCUUCAGAGUUUUUACUUCAUCAGCACUGAAAUCAAUCGCUUUCUUCAGGUUAACGAUACUGACAGUGUUCUUUUUCACCAAAUCCAUGAUGUCAUCUGCGCUCUCUUUGAUUUUAACCGUGAGGAUACCGACGAUGUUGUCCUGUAGCUGGCUCAGUGAUGGUUCACUUCUCAGCUUCUUUGAAAGUUGCUCUUUGGUUGCGGUAUUCGGUGUGACAGGCUAGCUGCAGACACAGCCAUUGAGCUGAGAAGGGGAGUGGCCUCUGUCAGUCUAUGGCCUUGAGCAGUUCAGACAGAGUUGGUGUCUCAACUCAUCAUCGAGAAGGAUUCUCCACCAGGUAUUUAUCCUAAGAGAUGUCUUUGCCAAUGAAGACACCACAGAGCUGAGUGGGAAGUGCAUUGUGGAGCUGGCAAAAGGUACAUUACAUUUACAUUAUACUACAGCAUGUACAUGGUCAUGCACGAUUAUACACUCAGUAUACAGAUCAGUUUAUUAGGUACACCACCCCGUUCACAAAAAUGGUUAGCUCCUACAGACAGUGAGUCACGUGGUCGUGGCUUGCUAUAUAAAGAAGGCAGACAAGCAUCAAGGCAUUCAGUUACUGUUCGAUUAAACAUUAGAAUGGGCAAAACUAGUGACCUGAGCAACUUUGAGCGUGGUAUGAUCAUCAGGUCAGGCGCGCUGGUCCCAGCAUCUCAGAAACGGCCGGCCUCCUGGGCUUUUCACGCACAACAGUGUCUAGGGUUUACUGAGAAUGGUGCGACAAACCUA